rnacentral:rRNA from 1 species
AGAGUUUGAUCCUGGCUCAGAACGAAUGUUGGCGGCGCGUCUUAAGCAUGCAAGUCGGACGGAAUUAAGCGGAGCAAUCUGCUUAAUUUAGUGGCGCACGGGUGCGUAACACGUAAAUAAUCUGCCCCCUGGUCGGGGAUAACUCAGCGAAAGAUGGGCUAAUACCUGAUGUGGUACAAGCGACGGAAUUAGUUUGCAUUAAAGUUGGAGCAAUCUAACGCUGGGGGAUGAGUUUGCGGCCUAUUAGCUAGUUGGUGGGGUAAUGGCCCACCAAGGCGAUGAUGGGUAGCCGGCCUGAGAGGGUGUACGGCCACAUUGGAACUGAGACACGGUCCAGACUCCUACGGGAGGCAGCAGCUAAGAAUAUUCCUCAUGGGCGAAAGCCUGAAGGAGCGACGCCGCGUGAAUGAAGAAGGCCUUCGGGUUGUAAAGUUCUUUUGUAAGGGAAAAAGGUGCAUAUAUUAACUGUAUGUGUAUUUGAUUGUACCUUACGAAUAAGCCCCGGCUAAUUACGUGCCAGCAGCCGCGGUAAUACGUAUGGGGCAAACGUUGUUCGGAUUUACUGGGUGUAAAGGGCGCGCAGGCGGUUUGGUCAGUCUGGUGUUAAAAGUCAGGGCUCAACUCUGAUCUUGCAUUGGAUACUGCCAUUCUAGAGUACAGAAGAGGAAGCCGGAAUUCUUGGUGUAGGGGUAAAAUCUGUAGAUAUCAGGAAGAACACCGAUGGCGAAGGCAGGCUUCUGGUCUGACACUGACGCUCAGGCGCGAAAGCUGGGGGAGCGAACUGGAUUAGAUACCCCGGUAGUCCCAGCCCUAAACGAUGUACACUAGGCGUGAUUGGUAUCGAUCCCAGUCGUGCCGAAGCUAACGCAUUAAGUGUACCACCUGGGGAGUAUGCUCGCAAGGGUAAAACUCAAAGGAAUUGACGGGGGCCCGCACAAGCGGUGGAGCAUGUGGUUUAAUUCGAUGUACGCUAGGAACCUUACCAGGGUUUGACAUGUACAUGACAGGUCGUGAAAGCGAUCCUCUCGCAAGAGCAUGUACAAAGGUGCUGCAUGGUUGUCGUCAGCUCGUGCCGUGAGGUGUUAGGUUAAGUCCUGCAACGAGCGCAACCCCCAUCCUAUGUUGCUACCAGGUUAUGCUGGGCACUCUUAGGAAACUGCCAGUGAUGAACUGGAGGAAGGUGGGGAUGACGUCAAAUCCUCAUGGCCCUUAUGUCCUGGGCUACACACGUGCUACAAUGGACGGUACAAAGAGCUGCAGAACCGCGAGGUGAAGCUAAUCUCAAAAAGCCGUUCUCAGUUCGGAUUGAAGUCUGAAACUCGACUUCAU